GACGAACGCUGGCGGCGUGCUUAACACAUGCAAGUCGAACGGUAAGGCCCUUCGGGGUACACGAGUGGCGAACGGGUGAGUAACACGUGGGCGAUCUGCCCUGCACUUCGGGAUAAGCCUGGGAAACUGGGUCUAAUACCGGAUAGGACUACUGGCCUGAUGGUUGGGGGUGGAAAGCUUUUGCGGUUGGGGAUGGGCCCGCGGCCUAGCAGCUGGUUGGUGGGGUAAUGGCCUACCAAGGCGACGACGGGUAGCCGGCCUGAGAGGGUGACCGGUCACACUGGGACUGAGAUACGGCCCAGACUCCUACGGGAGGCAGCAGUGGGGAAUAUUGCACAAUGGGCGCAAGCCUGAUGCAGCGACGCCGCGUGAGGGAUGACGGCCUUCGGGUUGUAAACCUCUUUCAGCUAUGACGAAGCGCAAGUGACGGUAGUAGCAGAAGAAGGACCGGCCAACUACGUGCCAGCAGCCGCAGUAA
rnacentral:rRNA from 1 species